CGUUCGUUGCCUAGUGGUUAUAGGAUCUGCCUUGGAUGCGGAAGGUUGCAGGUUCGAACCCCGUUUGAGUCA